rnacentral:rRNA from 1 species
GAUGAACGCUGGCGGCGUGCCUAAUACAUGCAAGUCGAGCGAACAGACGAGGAGCUUGCUCCUCUGACGUUAGCGGCGGACGGGUGAGUAACACGUGGAUAACCUACCUAUAAGACUGGGAUAACUUCGGGAAACCGGAGCUAAUACCGGAUAAUAUAUUGAACCGCAUGGUUCAAUAGUGAAAGACGGUUUUGCUGUCACUUAUAGAUGGAUCCGCGCCGCAUUAGCUAGUUGGUAAGGUAACGGCUUACCAAGGCAACGAUGCGUAGCCGAACUGAGAGGGUGAUCGGCCACACUGGAACUGAGACACGGUCCAGACUCCUACGGGAGGCAGCAGUAGGGAAUCUUCCGCAAUGGGCGAAAGCAUGACGGAGCAACGCCGCGUGAGUGAUGAAGGUCUUCGGAUCGUAAAACUCUGUUAUUAGGGAAGAACAAAUGUGUAAGUAACUAUGCACGUCUUGACGGUACCUAAUCAGAAAGCCACGGCUAACUACGUG